AUACAUUUAAUUAAAAUCGGCUCAGUCGUUAUCUCAGAAAAGCGUUUCUGUGUUUUACACGUAUUCGAAUAGGCUGCACCGGAGUUGCGCGCGAGCUGAAGCCAGGCCCCGCACACUCUCAAGUUCCAGCAAUCGCAACAGAAGGCGAGGAAUCCACUGCGGCGCGUUCCAGCACCGCGCGCCUUCCAAGACACUGCUCAUAUUUGUUCACCUCUUUGAACUCUGCACGUACAAGUCAACAGUGAAUGUGUCACACUGAAAGUAACAUCAAGGGCCAGAAUCCUUGCAAUAAAGGCGAAAAAAAAAAGAUAUUGUUGGUCUGCAAGCUGCCCACGCCAAGCCAUAAGCUCAACGGUCGCCAUAAUGACAGCAGGUUCUCUUGAACUCCAUGCCUCACCAUGAACUGUUUGCAAGUUUACCAUAUGGACGGGUAUGAGCCCUAUACAGGAAAGCAGCGGUCUACAGUUUUGUGUUGUUCUGAUCAGGAAUAAAGUUUGACAUA